rnacentral:tRNA from 23 species
GCCGGGAUAGCUCAGUUGGUAGAGCAGGGGACUGAAAAUCCUCGU